rnacentral:rRNA from 1 species
GAACGGCAGCACGGGACCAAUCCUGGUGGCGAAUGGCGAAAGGGUGAGUAAAGUAUCGGAACGUCCCCAGUCGUGGGGGAUAAGCGUAGCGAAAGUUACGCUAAUACCGCAUACGAUCUAUGGAUGAAAGCGGGGGAUCGCAAGACCUCGCGCGAUUGGACCGGCCGAUAUCAGAUUAGGUAGUUGGUGGGGUAAAGGCUCACCAAGCCGACGAUCUGUAGCUGGUCUGAGAGGACGACCAGCCACACUGGGACUGAGACACGGCCCAGACUCCUACGGGAGGCAGCAGUGGGGAAUUUUGGACAAUGGGCGAAAGCCUGAUCCAGCCAUGCCGCGUGCAGGAUGAAGGCCUUCGGGUUGUAAACUGCUUUUGUACGGAACGAAAAGGUUUGGCCUAAUAAGCUGAGCUCAUGACGGUACCGUAAGAAUAAGCACCGGCUAACUACGUG